UAAGUCAGUGGAUGGGUGCCUAUAAUUUCUAAGGGAAAUAGAGUGUAAUCCAAAAAUUUUAUAGCCAGCUAAAUUAUCCACCAAUCAAAAUAGGCAAAAGACACUAUGACAUGUUCAACAACUUAGAGAAUACAGUACUUCUGAGCUUUUUUAAUAAAAGCCUUCAUAAUAAAAUUUAGUCAGCCAAGAAAUUAAAAAAUAAGCAACUUGUGAAUUGAAUGACCAUGACAAAAGGCUACUGAUGAGAGGUGAAUCCAUUUAAAAAUAGGACUAUGAUUACAGAACAGAAAGAAAAGGUGGUCAACCUUAACAACAUAAAACAAGCUAGAAAUAACUAGUUUCCAGAGGUAAUGGGAGGGAUUGUAGGAAGUAGAUGUGCUAAUGCCCUUUACUAAGUCAAUCAGCUCUAAAAUUGAAACAUGUGGUUUUAAAUACAUAACCUCUUGUUUAUUUUCCUCCCUAACUACCCAAGGAUCAACUACCAUGAUGAAUGACACAGUAACUAUCUGGACCAGGAAGUUAAUGACCAACCAACCACUCCAGAGGAAACAAAUGGUCACCAAUGUCCUUCAUCCCGGGAAGGCAACAAAAUGUACAGGACCACAAUGGCCGUUAUCUUCAUAUGAAUAUUUGGACUCAGAACCCAUUUUGGUGGUGGUUAAACAAUGGGCUUUGGCAUGCUAUCUGGUUUGGAUUAUGCAAAGAAAAAUGAAUUCAAACAUAGACUUGCAAGACAUGGCUGGCAUGAGAAGAAGACGACCUCAAGAAAACAGCAAAAGGAAUGCAAGGGCAGAAUGAAGUCAAGAGACUACAAAGGCCAACGUCAGUGCUGACAAAAAGCAAAAGCAGUAAAGAUUUCACAAUGACUUUAUCUGCAGUGACUGUACAAAUUUUUCAUGAGAGGCCCAAUCAACUGUAAAGACUUUUACAUAUAUAUAUAUAUAUAAAAACCUUAAUAUUUUUCAUCACCUUUGAUUUCUUAGAUGUUCUAGAAACUGAUUUUUGGUGAGGAAAAACUACAUUUAUCUGAGUUGACCAGUUCCUUCCAUUUCACUUCCAUUUCUUUUUCUUCAGAUAAAUUUACA